rnacentral:rRNA from 1 species
AUUGAACGCUGGCGGCAGGCUUAACACAUGCAAGUCGAGCGGAGCGAGGGUGCUUGCACCUUAGCUUAGCGGCGGACGGGUGAGUAAUGCUUAGGAAUCUGCCUAUUAGUGGGGGACAACAUUCCGAAAGGAAUGCUAAUACCGCAUACGCCCUACGGGGGAAAGCAGGGGAUCUUCGGACCUUGCGCUAAUAGAUGAGCCUAAGUCGGAUUAGCUAGUUGGUGGGGUAAAGGCCUACCGAGGCGACGAUCUGUAGCGGGUCUGAGAGGAUGAUCCGCCACACGAGGGCUGAGACACGGCCCAGACUCCUACGGGGGGCAGCAGUGGGGAAUAUUGGACAAUGGGCGGAAGCCUGAUCCAGCCAUGCCGCGUGUGUGAAGAAGGCCUUUUGGUUGUAAAGCACUUUAAGCGAGGAGGAGGCUACUUAGAUUAAUACUCUGGGAUAGUGGACGUUACUCGCAGAAUAAGCACCGGCUAACUCUGUGCCAGCCGCCGCGGUAA